GUCUCCGCCCGCCUCGAGGCGCCGGCAGCGGGCGGCCAGCGGGGCUCCGCGCGACUUCGGCGGAGGACGGGCGCGUGAAGACACGCAGGGCACUAUGUCACUGGCAUCCUGGUUCAGGUGGAAUGAGCCCCCAAAUCGGAUUUCCCAGAGGAACCCCACAGAGAUGGUGGUUGAGACGCUAAUGAUGGAGCUGAGCUGGCAGAUCAAGCAGGCAGAGAAGCAGCAGCGGGAACGGGAGAAUGAAUAUCGCAAGAUCAAGACUGGGGUGGACUACGGCUGGCUGGUCAGCUACCCAAAGCAGAGCUAUGAUAUCAGCCCAGGAGAAAGGCUGCAGCUGGAGGAUAUGUGUACCAAAAUACAUCCAUCCUACUGUGGGCCUGUCAUACUCAGAUUCCGGCAACUCAUUGCUGAAUAUGAACCAGAAGUGCAGGAAGUAUCUCGACUCUUCCGCUCUGUUCUGCAGGAAGCUGUUGAGAAGAUCAAAGAGGAGGAAGACGCCAAGAAGCUCGCCAAGCAAUGGAACACAAAGAACAAAACCAGCCUCUCCUUAACAACGUUUAAGUCCCGGUCCAAGAUUUCCCCAUUCAUCAGUGACAUCAAGACCAUCUCUGAGGAUGUAGAGAGGGGCACCCAGCCCACCAGGAGGGUUUGGAGCAUGCCAGAAUUCCGGAAUGCCAAGGAUUACUGACUCUGUACUGAACAAGGCAGAACCCCUGAACCUUGUGCCUGCAGAGCAGAUAGAAAUGUAACACUGUUGUGGGUGGAUACAUCAGUUCUGUGUCAAAAGCUCUUCUUGGUCCUGUGUUCUGUGUUACUGAGUCAGCAGAGGGAGACAAAUCUGACCUUUGGUCAAAGCCAUAUACAUAUGAGGGCCAGGCUGUGAUGGCUCCUGUGACAGCUGUCAAGCUUCAGUUUACCUGCCACCUCUAAUUCCACAAUAAAAUGUAAUCCAGACUUUCAAAUAGUACCACUUUCUCCCUGUACCUCUUCUGCAAGUUACACUGGGCUCACAGAACCAUCUCAUGCUGAAAGGAUAUUCAGGUACCAAUCUGGCCAUCUAGUACUCUGAAAGGUACAAAACAAGCACUAUGCUUGCCUGCAGCCAGCUACUUGGAGACUGACUGCAACUUUUUGCACAGCGUAUGCACCAACAGAUACUGACACAGAGCUGGAGAGGUGCUUGGGAUAUUCAGUUGUUGCACUGUGCUUUUAACACUUGUUUUUCUUAUGAACUGUAGACUGAACGAAAUCAUUCUUUGGUCACUGCAUGCAGCAGCAAGUAACUACUCAUUUUUGCCUAAUCCUAAUUUCAUGUUUUGAGUGACUGAAUUAGAAUUUCAGAUUAAAUCAGGAGUGUGCAACUCCUGCUUGUCCCCCUACCUACUGAGCUAUGGUCCACAUACCUGAGCAGACACAGUGGGCAAACUGGAUUGCUUUUGGAUUAAGCUAACCUAAAUGAUCUGUUGCAGCUGACUCUCAGGUUUGCGUACCAUGAAACAGGACUAAGAAAACCUCCUAGCACUUGUAUAGUGUGAACAUUAAAUCCUUACUGACAACUGUACUGCUCUACAGCUCUGCUUCUCCUGGACUGCACUGCCUACUAGUGUAUAAAAGCAUUUCUACACAACUUAGAUGAGACUGUUCUGUUCUUACCUACUUUAGAGACUAGAGUCCGGUGAUUUAAUUCCUAAAGAAAAAUGAGAAGUGAAAUAGCAGCACAAUGCCAGUAACAAAUAACUCAGUAAACUCAACAAGAAUAAUUCAAAAUCCUCAUUCUUUCCAAAUUGAACAAAGACUUGGUGUCAGCCUAGAGCAUCACUGUUGCCCCAUCAGUGGUAGUGUUAUGCUGUCCAAAGGACAUUGUUACACCCAGGAAAAAGCAAUCAGAGACUUUUAUUGCACAUGCUAACACAUAAUGGCAACACUACUAGAGCAGCUCAGGUGCAUGGCUCGGCUUCAAGGGGCUGAAACACUUUUCAGAGUCACUACUCAUGUAAGAAAGAAAAUGCAGCUCUGCUCUUACAGCCUAGUAUGGCCCACAGGCUGUGGUGGCCUGCAAAGAUGUGCAGGAGGAGACUCUUCAGCUCUAUCAGCAUAUGGCUCAGACAGCUGUCACACCUUGGGGAACUGGAGUAUGCUUCACAGGAAAUACCUGUCUACUGAGAUUGCACUGUUUAUGUAUUUCAUCAUGGAACCGCAGAGAAUUAAAGCAAAGCUAAGAAAUAUAAAACAAAUUCUUGUAAUUGUUGUCGUUAAUUAAACAAGCAAUCUGUCCACAUCUAGCCAAACACAAGAGCCGUUCUAGUUCUCUACUGCACGCUGUGCAUGCAAAGGAGGAAGGCAAGAAUGGUAGAAACCAAGGCUAAACAAAAAAACAUCCUCUCUACAAGGUGCAAAUGCAGCCACUUGCUUUCUGCUUGCUACCUCUUCAAAUAGAUCCCACGAUGUAAGGUGAUAAAUAGCUAGGAUUAAACAACUGCAGAAGUCUGAAGUUCUCUGAAGCAAAGUGGUUUACAGAUACAACCUUGACUUUAAACCUUCCUCGCUGUGCUUCCAAGCACGUCUUACAAUGAUCAGUAUUACCACAAAAUGAGAAAAACAACAAAAUGAAUGUUUUGUGAGUCAAGCCACUCCUAUCAAUUCUAGAUACUGGAACCCUUUAAUAUUAGUAUACAGCCCCAGAUGGCUCAGGGCUCCCUGCACUAAGCAUUCACAUGAAAAGCAUGCAAGAGUUAAACAAGAGGAAGCUUUUUUUUUUUCCCCAACACAAAGUCUCAUUGAAGUGUACACUGCAUUGCUCAGAGAUCAAACAGAUGAGUGUUUCCAAAAGGGAGCUCCAGGAAUAAACUGAAGUAAGUGGUUAAGAUACAGACUACAGCAGAAGGCUUAAACCAUUCCUUCCUAGAAGCUGUGGAAAGAAACAUACUAGGGGACAAGCAAUAUCUCUGUCUUGUUGCUCACGCUCCUUCCCCAGAACACUUCUACAGGCUGCGCCCAAAACUGGGGAUGGUUGGGCCCUGCCUGGAAGACCAUUCCAGUAUUCCUAUGUAAACUUCACCACUCAGACAGAGGAGGAUAAGCUACACAGUGCAUGCUAGUUUGGCAAAAAAUCAUUCUGGGAAGCACAGGACUGUAUGAGUCAGCAUCUUUUUUUGUUGUGCCCUCCAAAAGAGAAAUGGCUCUGAAGCUUCAGUGAGAUCCACCCACCUGUGCCAGGCACAGACAUAGCAGUCUGGGAGCUUGCCUCUUGCUGGUACUGCUGUCCUCUGCACAAGGGGCCUCUUGUUCCCUCUAUGUGAUCAAGCAAGCUGUGUUUCAAGCCAGCUCACAUUAGGAAGACACAGUACUGACCCCAAGAGGUGGGCUGCGGGGCCAAGUCUCCCACAACUGGCGUGUGUUUUCUGUGCAGUUGUGUAAAGACACUCUCAAACUGAAUCUCUGCAGGAAGAGAUCUUAAUAAACAUGACAGGCAAAGAGAAAAGCUACAAGAAGAACAGUGAAAUAUGUGGUGUUUCAUGAACAUCUGUGUACAACAUACUUCAUAAAAUUCCUGGAGUCCUGACUGGAUAAGCAGAUUACAGCUUGUCAGCUGCUAUGGUCACAAUUGCACAUUGCUUCUACCAAAUGUAUCUAACCUCCCCCAUUGGAUGAUAUGGCAGGAGUGUGGGGAAAGAGAAAUGCAUUUUCUAAAUCCCAGUAUCCACUCUCAGAAUGUAAUUAUUGUUAUUCCCAUUUAGUGAUUAUAAUGCUAUAUUCUCAGAGACUUCUGAUGAGUCAGGGUCCAUGUAUGGUACCUCUUCCAGCCUUAUUAUCAGCAGUAUCAGAUUGCCUAAAGACCGCGUGUAGUUUAGUCUGAAGACAGGUUAAAUAAGAGAUGUAGAACAAAACAGUGCCAGAGAAAUACCCCUCUUUCCUUUUGGUGUUAUUCUGACACUGGAAGCAUAAAAUUAUUUAGCAGGUGGAAGAGUACAGUGUUGUAUCUGAAGAACUCGGCAGUUCCUGUAAGGAUGGUGCAAGAGCACCCAGUCCUUCCAGGUCCCUCUUGGAUCUCAGCAACUCAUUCCCAUUGCAUAUAGCUACUCAGAAGUUCCAACCUUUCUUCUGCCAGAACAGACUGUGGUCUGUUCAAAGCCCAGCGAGGAGGAGGAAAGGGAGAAAGACUGGAUUACAUUCAUAGGACAGCAGUAACAAACAUGCACCAUAAGCAACACAUCUUUGCAGGCUAAUUAGAGGGUUUCAGAAUUAUUGUGAAGCCAAAGUCCAAAAGGAGAAAAACAAAAAAAAAACCCUGUAUGAGGCAGUGCAGAUGGACAGCAAUGCCACCUGCUGGCACGUUCUAAGCAGUGAGUAACAGGAAACCCUGCCUUUCCCAACAAAUACCUCUUUCUCACUCUUAUGCUACCUUUCUUUCAAAUUUCACUGUCAUGCAGAGAACAGCACUUGAACAAAACGCAAACCACAUACAACUAUGUUAACACCUGAAUGGAAAAUAGCACCAGCAGUUGGCAUGCUGGUACCAGUUGUCUUCUUAAUGCUCUCUACCUCUGCCACCAAUGUACAUUUACCAGGAUGGAUAUUAGCAGUUUGUCACAUUGCUUACAAAGUCUCAAAGCAUGCUUCCUUAGAGCCACCAACAUUGCAUCCUGCUCUCCCUGCAGAAAACACUAGGUGCUUCCUAUUCCUCAUGAAUCACACUUUAAGGCCAAAAAUGAGCAGGCAGAAAAAGAUUACUGCUCUCAAGAGCCAAAUAAAUCAUGGUCUCUGCACUGGACAAUAAUUUUGGUGAGUUGUUUUGUCCAGAGAUGAUGGAAGACUGGGCUGCGUGUCUGCUGAUAAUCCUAAACAGCAGCUCUUAGAAGGGCUCACCCCCUACAGCUUCAAAUGUAAUCAAGUAACUGGCCUUGGGGAUGUCCUGGUGUGCCCAGAACCUCAAAGCCCUCAGAAGAACCCACUGCCACAAAAAACCAGCCAUUUCACAGAGUGCCCGAAAGAGAGCUGGACUCGAGAGCUGAGCAACAGUUUUGGAAACCUGUUCCUAAAAGAUCACAGCAAAGCCCUGCAGGACUGACACGUACAGCAAGCUGUUUCAGAGCUCCACCCAGUGGCCACCAGGUGGCUCAGCCAGCCCUCGACUGACCCUAGGUCAAGUUACUUCAGCCUCUCUGACUUUUGGCUUUUGCCUGCGUGUACACCUCUGUCCUAGCUGCAGAGGGAGACGUUCUGAGAUGUCUGGGAAGCCCAUAUAAUCCUGCAGCACAAAACAUUCAAGUACAUCAAAAUGACACAACUUGCUUAAGUUGAACCAUACUCAGCACUGAAGAGAUCAAAACUGCAUGCUCUUCCCAGCACAGCAGGUUGAUAUAUCCUAGUUUAACACAGCAAGCGCUUCCAAGCCUAACUGGUAUUUCUGACUGAUCUGUCAUUUUAAUCUCAGUACUUCUUUGCACAAAGGAGUCAAGUUCAGGCAAAUCAUAAAAGCGAGUGACAAAGGACUGCACUGCUUAUGAGAACUGGCUGAAUCACUUAAUUACUUGUAUCAAGUAAUUAUUUUUUCAUGUUUGGAUUCCCUGAGAAACUUAAGAAACUGCUCUAUCCCCUCUCAAAACCUUUUGAGUCUACUACCAACUGUACUUAUUGUGGAGGGAUCUUUAGAAAUGUCAGGUUCCUUUCCUGUUUGCUCACAUUGGCUCACUAGAUCUAGAAGUUCCAUAUGAGCACCCCUUCACUGAACAGAUAAAAGCCUCACAGUAUUAUAUACUUGCGCACACACAUGCUAGUAGUAUUGGUGAGGUGGAAAGGGCUUGAAGAGCAAGGGGAAGAAGACCCAAGGGACAAAGUAUUACCAAUUCUGCUGCUAGUGGCACAAUUGGUGAGAAUACUUGAAAAAACAGGAUUCCGACAAGGAGGAAGGGCAUGGCAGCAGCAGUUCAGAGAGUGCAUCUUCUACCAGUCUGCCCCAACAGUGACUUCUAUUUCAGAAUUUCAGACAAAGGAUGUGAUAGGGAGCACUCACACACACACAUGCAAAAUGUAUGCUUCAUAUCUGAAAGACUCCUAUUAUUUAACCUUUUAGCUAGAAUCUCCACUUGUCCAGCCAGAUAAGCCCCAGAAUCCCCUCCCUUGUCACUUUACCUCUGCCUGCACUUCAUGACUUCUGACACCAGCAGCCUCCCUCCAUCCCUAUCUCAUGCAUUUCCAUUAUUCCAGACUUCAUUUUUCCCUACAAUAAGCACUUUUUGGAGACCUGGUAGCAAGGCUAUCAGGCUGACAUCCCAUGCUGCUACAGAGUGUCCACGCAAAUUUCUAGAUCUGCAUCUGUUACCUUACUAUCAUAACCUUCACAUGCAGUUUUGUCUCUGGUUAUGCUGGCACAACAGAAAUUUGAAGCACCAUUAAGUAGUUAUGCUUUAGUUAAAAGGUCAAUAAAAAUAAAAUUCUUCCUGGGGCUGCAUGGCACUACAAUGAUUCUGCUUGCAGAGGCCUAUACCUACUGGUGCAACUGGAAUCUGCCUCAAAAACAUCGGUUCCACCAAGCUGCAUGCAGAGCAGAUGCACAUGAUUAUACCGACUCUUAAAUAUAUUUAAUAAAUAAUACAAUGUAUGGAAUGACAAAGAUGUUGUAUACUUUAUCAGUGUGUUUGGAAUUAACCUCCCCAAGAGAAGUCAGAAGAUAAAAGUUGCUUAUCUGGGCAUGACACGUGGCAUCUCUAGAUAGAAAUAUAGAUAGUAGUAGUAUGAAUCAUGAAGUACAAUCCCCAUGAAGCAAAGGAGCUGAAUUCUUUUGUUUUUCCUACUGUUUCAGAACACUGCUUCGAAAAAUACUUCCACAAGGUUAAAAGUCAAGAAAACUCCAUUUUUUACCCCUGUUUUUUCAUGUUUUAUGUUCAGAAGAAUAAAACAACCCAACUUUUCUGAAUUGAGGAUUCAAUGUCUAACGAGUUAAAUCUCUGCAAGAACUGCAAAAUGUUCCACAACAACAACAAAGCUACAGGAAAAAAAAACAGGAUUCCAGCAUCUCCAGGAGAUUUCACAUCAAAUUUAAAAAUUGCACCUUGAACAAUAAUAUAAAGCCUUCAGAUUUCCUUAAAACACCAUGCUAGACACAGACUCAAAAAGUUUUCUACUUGUUUGCUCUGCAAUGAACCCCUCAUGCUCUGAUCACCUGAUAUCCUUGUCAAAGGCAACCACACUGAGGCCUUUUGUAGGCACACCUCUCAGUGGCUCCUGAAGAGCGUCUGGCACGUAAGUGAUUCACAAGGAAUUCCAACAUCAGAGUUCUGUACACAGGGGCCUGCUGCCAGGGCACUAGGAAGAAGUGAGCAGGCUUUGAGCAAUCUGCUAAGGCCAAAACACACACACACACACAGACACACACACACAAUGCUGGGCGCACACGCAAACACACACACACACACACACACACACACACUAUGCUGGGCAGCAGCUGCAGACCAACAACACACCAGGACACCUCUGUCACUGUCACUGCCUGCCUCAGAACCAUUCCUAUGGCUCUUUCUCUCAGAUGUAUGCUACGUGCUGGCAGCACUUCAGACAGAGGAAGAUUUGACAAACAGCUCACAGGGUCAGAAAGGCAGGCCAGAUCUUCAGGCUUCUUAGCUCUAGGAACUGCAACUUGAGAUAUGGGAGUAAAUCAGUUACAGUGAGUGCGUGCUGCCUGUGAGCAGCUGAUCCAGAUAAAGAGAACCACAGACUUUCCCUCUUCAGUUUUGGAAUAAAAAUUAUCCAGCUACCAUUAUU